GUGGUAUCAGCCUCCUGAGCACAGAGAGGGCAGAAAGGGGUGGAGACAAAGAGGGGCGCAGAUAGUGGGCAAAUGGGGAAGUGGCACUUCCCCUAGCUCGAGGGCAGAGGCUUGGUGUGAUGGAAUGGCACUCCUUAAACUGCUACAUAUUUUCCCUUUAAUUUGGCCAAGAACAAGUUGUCAAGUUUGUGUGAGAUAAAGGUGCACUUGGUUCGUUCUUGUCUAAUGGCCCCCGCACCCAUGGGUAUUUCUUCAGCUUCCACAGUCAUCCCGACACUAGCUGGGAAGCUCCAGCAGCCCUGGUCCUGGCCCCAGCUCUGUGGGCGCUGGCCCUCAACUUUGCCUGCACUGUGCUUUUGUGCUAUUCCCCUUGGUCCUGUUUGGGUGCAAGUCCCCCUCACGCAUUGAGUUCCUGGGCCGCUCAGGCUGCUCCUGUGUCUCCCCAGGGAACAUGAAGGUCUUGCAGGAGCCCACCUGCGUCUCCGACUACAUGAGCAUCUCUACUUGCGAGUGGAAGAUGAAUGGUCCCACCAAUUGCAGCACCGAGCUCCGCCUGUUGUACCAGCUGGUUUUUCUGCUCUCCGAGUAAAGCCCACACGUGUAUCCCUGAGAACAACGGAGGCGCGGGGUGCGUGUGCCACCUGCUCAUGGAUGACGUGGUCAGUGCGGAUAACUAUACACUGGACCUGUGGGCUGGGCAGCAGCUGCUGUGGAAGGGCUCCUUCAAGCCCAGCGAGCAUGGUGAGCAGGGCGGAGUGCGGCAGGGGUGGCUGGGUGUGUUCCCACAGCUGCCUGGGCUGAGGGUGGGGUGGGCAGGGGAGGAGGUGGGGUCAUAGCAACAGCAGGAGGAAGCCGCCUGUAUUUUCCCAAAUCUGAUGGGAUUCCUGCCCCUGCCUGGGCCUCAGUCCUCCCACCUUUGAAACGGAGCUGGUCGCAGUAGACCACCAAGCCCCCUUCAGCCCAGCUGUUUCCACCCCUGAACUUAAGUGCCCAGGAAGGCGUAUUGAGAUGAGGUGUGCUUGCUGGAAGGCAUGCCUGCUGCUGAUUGAAAACCGAACUGGGAACAUUCCUUCCAUUCUGUGUCCACUGGUCAGCUGCUGCGGCUUUGGAUGGUCUUGACCGUGGAAGGCUGACCUUCUUCUGGUACCCGGAGUCCCUGCAGGAAUCCCCCUUGAGCUUGCUGGGCUGUGGUGACAGGAGUUUAAAACAUGCGUUGUAUUCCAGUGAUGCAUGAUAUGACAUGCAUCACAGGAAUAAAAACCUGAGGUCUCAUGGAUAUGAUUGCUUCAAAGGAGACCAAGUUUUAAAACAGAUGAAUCAAAAUAAAGAAAAAUACUCAGUAAAUCAUCAUAAAGUACAGAGAUGUGGCCAAAGGUGUGAAGGAUGCAGCUGUAAAAGCUGAAGUUUGAGGCCGGGUGUGGUGGUUCAUGCCUAUAAUCCCAGCACUUUGGGAGGCCGAGCCCAGCGGAUCACCGGAGGUCAGGAGUUCGAGACCAGCCUGGACAACAUGGUAAAACCCCGUCUCUACUAAAAAUACAAAAAAUUAGUCUGGCAUGGUGGCAGGCGCCUGUAAUCCCAGCUACUUGGGAGGCUGAGGUAGGAGAAUGGCUUGAACCCAGGAGAAGGAGGUUGCAGUGAGCUUAGAUCAUGCUACUGCCCUCCAGCCUGGGCGACAGAGUGAGAUUACGUCUC
rnacentral:lncRNA from 1 species